rnacentral:rRNA from 1 species
CAGGCCUAACACAUGCAAGUCGAACGGUAACAGGAAGCAGCUUGCUGCUUUGCUGACGAGUGGCGGACGGGUGAGUAAUGUCUGGGAAACUGCCUGAUGGAGGGGGAUAACUACUGGAAACGGUAGCUAAUACCGCAUAACGUCGCAAGACCAAAGAGGGGGACCUUCGGGCCUCUUGCCAUCGGAUGUGCCCAGAUGGGAUUAGCUAGUAGGUGGGGUAACGGCUCACCUAGGCGACGAUCCCUAGCUGGUCUGAGAGGAUGACCAGCCACACUGGAACUGAGACACGGUCCAGACUCCUACGGGAGGCAGCAGUGGGGAAUAUUGCACAAUGGGCGCAAGCCUGAUGCAGCCAUGCCGCGUGUAUGAAGAAGGCCUUCGGGUUGUAAAGUACUUUCAGCGGGGAGGAAGGUGUUGAGGUUAAUAACCUCAGCAAUUGACGUUACCCGCAGAAGAAGCACCGGCUAACUCCGUGCCAGCAGCCGCGGUAAU